UUCUAUGUCCAUGGCACUCUGAAUAUGACUGGUUUCAUCUGAUCUUGGAAGAUAAUUAAGGAUAGGCCUGGUUAGUACCUAGAUGAGAGACAACCUGGGUACAGUGAGAGGCAACAUGAUAU
rnacentral:rRNA from 1 species